AGUGAACGCUGGCGGCGUGCCUAAUACAUGCAAGUCGAACGAAGUGGCGCACGGGUGAGUAAUAUAUAGUUAAUCUGCCCUACACAGAGGAACAACAGUUGGAAACGACUGCUAAUACCUCAUAGUGUAGGAUGAGACAAUAUCGUAUCAGCUAGUUGGUAAGGUAAUGGCUUACCAAGGCUAUGACGCGUAACUGGUCUGAGAGGAUGAUCAGUCCCGUUGGAAGGGAGACACGGUUCAAACACAUACGGGAGGCAGCAGUAAGGAGUAGUGCGCAAUGGUGGAGUACCUAACGCAGCAACGCCGCGUAGAGGAUUACCCGUGUCGGAGCGUAAACUCCUUUUAUCAGGAAAGCGGUACCUGCUGAAUAAGCACCGGCUAACUCCGUGCCAGCCGCCGCGGUAAUAC
rnacentral:rRNA from 1 species